UCAAGAGUCUCCCUUCACCCCUUCCCAUAUCUGAUUGGGUCCUCAUCCCUCUACCUUCCUCAAGGGGUGUCGGAUUGCCCUGGUCUGUCUUCAGCAUGAAUCCUGGAGGUCCUGGUAAGGAACGCAGAACUAACAAGCUACCACCAACAGGAAGUGUUCGGGAAAGGUCAAAAGGAGAGAGGAAACUCCAGUCCUUAUGUCCUGCUGACUUCCCAGAAUCCUCCUCACUGGAGUCCAUCUUGACACACGGGCAACCAGGGCUGUGGGCUGCGUGACGCACGGGCAACCAGGAAGGACAGCGAGUCAGAGUGGUUGGCCACAGACAACUGGAAACUAACCCUAUCGUCAUAAAACCUGAAACCUCGAGCUAUGGGGCAGAGCAGUCUUCCGGGGUUCUGUUCCUCUCCUGUUCUGCGCCUGGGCACCCCUUUCCCGAUAAAGUCUCUUGCUUUGUCCGCA